GAGCUGUGGUCUAGAAGAAGAUGAAACUGUUGGGUCUUCUCCUUUGCCUGGUGAUGGCUCCCCAAGGUGUCCUGUCCCAGGUGCAGCUGCAGGAGUCGGGCCCAGGACUGGUGAAGCCCUCGCAGACACUGUCCCUCACCUGCACUGUCUCUGGAGUCUCUUCGAGCCU